CCUACGGGAGGCAGCAGUGAGGAAUAUUGGUCAAUGGGCGCGAGCCUGAACCAGCCAAGUAGCGUGAAGGAUGAAUGCCCUAUGGGUUGUAAACUUCUUUUAUAUGGGAAUAAAGUGCAGUACGUAUACAGCUUUGCAUGUACCUUAUGAAUAAGGAUCGGCUAACUCCGUGCCAGCAGCCGCGGUAAUACGGAGGGUCCGAGCGUUAUCCGGAUUUAUUGGGUUUAAAGGGAGCGUAGGCGGGUUGUUAAGUCAGUUGUGAAAGUUUGCGGCUCAACCGUAAAAUUGCAUUUGAUACUGGCAGCCUUGAGUACAGUAGAGGUAGGCGGAAUUCGUGGUGUAGCGGUGAAAUGCUUAGAUAUCACGAAGAACUCCGAUUGCGAAGGCAGCCUGCUGGACUGUAACUGACGCUGAUGCUCGAAAGUGUGGGUAUCAAACAGGAUUAGAUACCCCUGUAGUC
rnacentral:rRNA from 1 species